AUGCAAGUUAAUGUUCAAGGUGUGCUUUGGCUUUGGGAUUCUUUACUGUUUUUGCUUUGGCUUUGUGCGUGGCCUCUGAAAUUAAACCAAAGUUUCAGUGGGUUCUUUUUAAAGACAAUGAAGCUGUCUCAAAUGUCAACCCAGUAUCUGAUCCACUCGACGAUGAGCUUGUUGAUGCAGAUGGCGAGGGCUUGGUUACUUCCAGAUCAUCUAUGUUUUGAAGCAUACACUUUCAGUCUAUGCUUACUUAUUUUACGCUUGUCUGGUGAAACACUAGGUUCAGUUAAUGAGUCUAUUGCUGGAAAGGAGAAGACACCACAACUUAGCACUGACAUUCAGAAAGAUAACUUAACAUUGCCUGGUGAGACGUCAGAUGCAAAUAGCACUCGACAUUUCUUUACUUAUACCCAGGUGCUUUGGUUGCAUUGCAAAACUGCUACAUUCAGCGUGGCAUUUUGA
rnacentral:rRNA from 1 species